GUGGGGCAGCAGGGGUAGCAAUACCCGCUGGCGACCGGCAAACGGGUGCGGAACACGUACGCAACCUUCCUUUAAGUGGGGAAUAGCCCAGAGAAAUUUGGAUUAAUACCCCGUAAUAUUAUGAGAUGGCAUCAUCUUAUAAUUAUAGCUUCGGCGCUUGAAGAUGGGCGUGCGUCUGAUUAGGUAGUUGGCGGGGUAACGGCCCACCAAGCCUACGAUCAGUAACUGGUGUGAGAGCACGACCAGUCACACGGGCACUGAGACACGGGCCCGACUCCUACGGGAGGCAGCAGUAAGGAAUAUUGGUCAAUGGACGAAAGUCUGAACCAGCCAUGCCGCGUGGAGGAUGAAGGCCCUCUGGGUUGUAAACUUCUUUUAUUUGGGAAGAAACCCAUUUUUUCUAAGAUGGUUGACGGUACCAGAUGAAUAAGCACCGGCUAACUCCGUGCCAGCAGCCGCGGUAAUACGGAGGGUGCAAGCGUUAUCCGGAUUCACUGGGUUUAAAGGGUGCGUAGGCGGGCAGGUAAGUCAGUGGUGAAAUCUCCGGGCUUAACCCGGAAAUUGCCGUUGAUACUAUCUGUCUUGAAUGUCGUGGAGGUGAGCGGAAUAUGUCAUGUA
rnacentral:rRNA from 1 species